rnacentral:tRNA from 1 species
AAGAAUCUAGUAAAUUUAUUACAUGACCUUGUCAAGAUCAAAUUACAACACGUUUGUGAUUCUUA